rnacentral:tRNA from 1 species
GCCUGGGUGGCUCAGUCAGUUAAGCAUCUGACUUCAGCUCAGGUCAUGAUCUCACAGUUUGUGGGUUCGAGCCCCACGUUGGGCU